UACGUAGGGCGCAAGCGUUGUCCGGAAUUAUUGGGCGUAAAGAGCUCGUAGGCGGCUUGUCACGUCGGGUGUGAAAGACCGGGGCUUAACCCCGGUUCUGCAUUCGAUACGGGCUGGCUAGAGUGUGGUAGGGGAGAUCGGAAUUCCUGGUGUAGCGGUGAAAUGCGCAGAUAUCAGGAGGAACACCGGUGGCGAAGGCGGAUCUCUGGGCCAUUACUGACGCUGAGGAGCGAAAGCAUGGGGAGCGAACAGG
rnacentral:rRNA from 1 species